rnacentral:lncRNA from 13 species
GUUUCUUCAAUGCCUUAGAGAAGAAUGUAGCCUUGAUGGUGGAGAAUGGAUUAAAGUUUGGGAAUAUUUUACACUUGAAAACUUGCAGUUUGCUGAUGGAGGGAAAGAACUGAGUCAUUACUCAGAUCUCAUGUUUGAAAUCUUCAAUUUGAAGUAUUUUCUUUUCCAUUUUGAGGUGAGGGCUCAGAAAGACUUCAUAUUUGGGAAUUUUGGACUUACGGAAACUCAUAAAGAAGCCAAAGCUCAAGAACUGGCCAGCUUUUCAUUUAGUGAUGAGUUUGCCAUCACCAAACUCAAGUCUCCAGGAUGAAUGUGACUCCAUGCUGCCGAACCCCUGGGAUAUGACUUGGCAGGUAAUUUCAAUGAUGUAGGGCUGAUGUCUACUUGGUAGGUGGUUCUGUGGCCAGGGAUUGUGGCUGACAUUCAAUGUGGAGGUGGAGGCAAAGGAUGAUUUCAGCCUCCUCUAGGCAGAGCAUGGUGAAUUGAAGAGAGCUCAAAAU